rnacentral:piRNA from 1 species
UCUGAGAACACAAGCCUAAGGCACACAAG